rnacentral:rRNA from 1 species
UACGUAGGGGGCAAGCGUUGUCCGGAUUCAUUGGGCGUAAAGAGCGUGUAGGCGGCCAGGUAGGUCGGUUGUGAAAACUGGAGGCUCAACCUUCAGAGGUCGACCGAAACCAUCUGGCUAGAGUCCGGGAGAGGAGAGUGGAAUUCCUGGUGUAGCGGUGAAAUGCGCAGAUAUCAGGAGGAACACCAGUGGCGAAGGCGACUUCCUGGCCUGUUCUUGACGCUGAGGCGCGAAAGCUAGGGUAGCAAACGGG